rnacentral:misc_RNA from 1 species
CCAAACUUGGUCAUUUAGAGGAAGUAAAAGUCGUAACAAGGUCUCCGUUGGUGAACCAGCGGAGGGAUCAUUACUGAAGUUUGAAAAAACUCCAAACACCUGUGAACUUACCUAUGUUGCCUCGGUAGGUGUGCUCUCAUUGCCCCGUAGGAACCUAUAGUACAAUGGGCGUACCCUGCCGAAGGCCCCUAUAAACUCUUGUAUUUUGAACAUUGGAUCUUCUGAAAAAAAAAAAAUUGUGGUUAAAACUUUCAACAACGGAUCUCUUGGCUCUGGCAUCGAUGAAGAACGCAGC